GCCAGAGACCGAUAGCGCACAAGUAGAGUGAUCGAAAGAUGAAAAGCACUUUGAAAAGAGAGUUAAACAGUAUGUGAAAUUGUUGAAAGGGAAGCGCUGGCAACCAGACUCGUGCGCGGGGUUCCCCCUUGCUUCUGAAAAAGGUCACUUCCCCGUGUCCGGGCCAUCAUCAGUUUCGGGGGCCGGUUAAAGGCCCUGGGAAUGUACCCACGCCUUCGGGGGUGGACUUAUAGCCCAGGGUGUCAUGCGGCCACCCGGGACUGAGGAACGCGCUUCGGCGAGGAUGAUGGCGUAAUGGUUGUCAGCGGCCCGUCUUGAAACACGGACCAAGGAGUCUAACAUCUAUGCGAGUGUUCGGGUGUCAAACCCUUGCGCGGAAUGAAAGUGAACGGAGGUAGGAAGGCUUAAGCCUGCACUAUCGACCGAUCCUGAUGUCUUCGGAUGGAUUUGAGU
rnacentral:rRNA from 1 species